GGUAUCAAAGGAAAAAAGAGACAUUUCAGGCUGAGAAUGAGAGCUGCAGAAAGCCCUGAUUAAGAAAGUGUCACUGCGAGUCUGAUGAAGGAAUGAGAGGGCACAGCCUGGAGUUAAAUAUCAAAGUACAGACAGUUCACAAAGCAAUCGGUGUAAAGGACAUUAAUCAAGUUGGCGCCAAGAGGUCUAUUCACAAGAUCUCCUCCCUAACAAGGACCACUCCCUCUGGAGGGAGGAAUCUUCCACGCUGUUGCUGGGAUGGGAUCCACCUGGACUGAUUCUUAAAUGGCUCUGCUUCAACCCCUUCCCUGCCUUGCAGCCAGCAGAGCCCUCUGAAGCUCCAGGAACAGAAAACUGGGGUUGAAUUAAUCGCCCGUG